GAAAUGCGAUAAGUAAUGUGAAUUGCAGAAUUCAGUGAAUCAUCGAAUCUUUGAACGCACCUUGCGCUCCUUGGUAUUCCUAGGAGCAUGCCUGUUUGAGUAUCAUGAAAUCUUCAAAGUAAAUCUUUUGUUAACUCAAUUGGUUUCUACUUUGGUAUUGGAGGUCUUUGCAGCUUCACACCUGCUCCUCUUUGUUCAUUAGCUGGAUCUCAGUGUUAUGCUUGGUUCCACUCGGCGUGAUAAGUUAUCUAUCGCUGAGGACACUGUAAAAGGUGGCCAAGGUAAAUGCAGAUGAGCCGCUUCUAAUAGUCCAUUGACUUGGACAAUACUUUUAUGAUCUGAUCUCAAAUCAGGUAGGACUACCCGCUGAACUUAAGC
rnacentral:misc_RNA from 1 species